AGUGAACGCUGGCGGUAGGCCUAACACAUGCAAGUCGAACGGCAGCACAGUAAGAGCUUGCUCUUACGGGUGGCGAGUGGCGGACGGGUGAGGAAUACAUCGGAAUCUACUUUUUCGUGGGGGAUAACGUAGGGAAACUUACGCUAAUACCGCAUACGACCUACGGGUGAAAGCAGGGGAUCUUCGGACCUUGCGCGAUUGAAUGAGCCGAUGUCGGAUUAGCUAGUUGGCGGGGUAAAGGCCCACCAAGGCGACGAUCCGUAGCUGGUCUGAGAGGAUGAUCAGCCACACUGGAACUGAGACACGGUCCAGACUCCUACGGGAGGCAGCAGUGGGGAAUAUUGGACAAUGGGCGCAAGCCUGAUCCAGCCAUACCGCGUGGGUGAAGAAGGCCUUCGGGUUGUAAAGCCCUUUUGUUGGGAAAGAAAAGCAGCAGGUUAAUACCCCGCUGUCCUGACGGUACCCAAAGAAUAAGCGCCGGCUAACUUCGUG
rnacentral:rRNA from 1 species